GACACAGCAACUGGCGGUUGGCAACAAUAGUUGAGGACAUUCAGUCCAUGUGUAAUCUAUUUCAGAUGUGCUCAUUUUCUUUAGUUACGACAGGGAAAUUAGAUUGUAUCAAACUGAGCUUGCAUGCUCUUAAUAGCUGGGUUGAUGAAGAAUGGGUAAAUCUCAAUCUUAGAUGCUAACGCAUCAUGGUUUCAAAUGGGACAAUUGUCCCCUAUGUUUGGACCUUUGUCUAAUUACUGUAAAACUUUGUGAUGAGUUAUAAAACUAUCGUUUGAAUUUUGCAU
rnacentral:lncRNA from 1 species